rnacentral:lncRNA from 1 species
AACUCCAACAACACCGGAUUUCAAAUUUUUAAAGCAAAUCCUAGCUUUGAACUCACAAACACACAAGAAUAAAGUUUCAGCAGAAAAUUCAUGAAAUAAUCCUUCAAAUUGCAUCAUAAAGAGACAGGGUUUUACUCAUAUCACGUGAGUAUUUAUUCAACAGCAUGCCAUGAGUCUCAAAGAAAGAUCAAAAUUCAUCAUUCAAUAUAGACCAAUCAUUAUUACAGAGUGGUAUGAACAUACCUAGACUGGAAAGACGAAUACAGAGCAGAAAUGGAGACGGCAAGACCUAGCCAAAGCAGCCACAAAUUCAACAAUUCAACCAGCAAUUUAGGAGAGUUUAUACACUUGAAAUCCCAGAAAACCACGAGCCAACAAACUGAUAUCUUUCUUCUUUUUUUUUUUCAAGAUCUGAAAGUUUUUUUUUAGCUGCUAGGUUGAAAAACGGGGAGGGAUCUGUUUGGUUCUCUCUUGAGAGGAUGGAGGGUCGCCCGAUGAAGGUUUUCUGAGAGAGAGGUCCGGCGGCGGCUAUCUUUGAGAAAGGGUAUUUGGAGUUGAUGAUAGAGGAAGGGAAUUAGGGCUUUUUGUUGGGAGGGGUCUGAUUCUCGUUCAUCCCUGGUGAAGUGAGAAGAAUGGAGAAGGAGCAAGAAGGUGUGCGGCGGAUAGGGUUUUGUAAGGCUCGGGGGGCCCUCGGUAAGGAGUUUUUCCGCAAGUGCACCACGGUUAAUUCAGGUUUUACCCAGUCCGAUGGCCCUCAUAAACUGUUUACACCCAGUGGGUUUCGAACUGAAGUGAGAAGAAAGGAGAAGGAGCAAGAAGGUGUGCGGCGGAUAGGGUUUUGUAAGGCGCCCGGGUGGGGGGGCGUUUCUGAUCUUUUUUGCAUGUGUGGAAUGGACGGAAAAGAAACAACACCGUUUAGGCAUGAAGUGGAAUGGGUUGGGAUUAUGGAAUGAUUGGGCUGAUGGUAAGAGUUGGGCCCAGAAAACUGGCCCGAGUUCGAAUUCAAGCUCUAAAAAGCCAUCGUAAAAAUUGUAAAAAUUACAUAGGGCGUCUUAUUUGGUCGCCCAUAUUUAUCUAUACCAAUUUAUUUUAAAAUUUUACUUUUUACCUAUUUUUAAAAUAAUUUUAGCUCUAUUUCUCAUUUUCCUUCUUCGUUUUCUUUCUUCUCAUCGUCCAAUUCAUAAUCUUUAUUUCAAAAAAAUAACUUUAUUAUAUCAAACAUAGUAUACACUCCCAUGGUUAGUUCAUACCUAUUUGCAUAAUUCAUUAAUGAAAGGAGUUACACUAUCUCUUAUAAUAGGUCUGCUUAUGCGCUCUACUUUAACACUAUCUAGAGAUGAAGUUUUUCGAUUACAAAAACAAAAACUUCAAUUCUAGAGCUAAAAUUUGCCAGCUAUAAAAUAAAAACUUUAGCUCUAAGGCUGAAGUUUGCCAGUUACAAAAAUAAAAACUUCAGCUCUAGGCCAGUUACAAAAUAAAACUUCAAGUCUAGAACCGAAGUUCGCCAGUUACAAAACAAAAACUUCAGCUCUAGAGCUGAACUUCAACCCCAUCUUUGCUACUUCAGCUCUGUAUGCUGAAGUUAUGCGAAAAAGCGGGUACACUUGUAAUAUUUUUACAAAGCGGACAUAAGUUAAAACGUGACACAAAAAAUUGCACGCAUCGCCCUAUUUCGUCGCUCUCACUUAACCCAUAUUAAUUUUUUAAAAACUCGUACCCACUUUUUAAACAACUUCAGCCCAAUUUCUUUUCCUCCUCCUCCUCCUCCUCCUUGGUUUUCUUUUUCUUCUUCUUCUUCUUCUUCUUCUUCCUCUUCUUCUUCUUCUUCUUUUCUUCUUCUUUCUUUUGUUAUUGUUGGUAAAAUUCAGCUCAUGGGAUGAUUGCCAUAAAUAUAUUUAUUCGAUUAUUUAAAAAUAAAUUAUAAAUAAUUAAGUAAGUUAGUAGAUAAUAAUUUGUGAAUAUUUCCACGUACGUAAGUUAUUACACAAUGAUAAUUCUAUUCUUUUCACGUUUAUUGUUUCCAAAAUUUAUAAUUUAGAUAAUGUUGUCAAUUUGAUUAUUUAUCUAGUAUGUUAGAAAGACUUUCAAAAACUUCAGCUUAUAUAGUGCUGAAACUUUUACAAAUGAACUGAAUAACUUCAGCAUCUUCUACUAAAGUUUUUGAAAAGGCUUUAUGACAAAACUAAUGAAUCCGGGACAAAAAAAAUUCAGCUUUUAGUGCUAAAAUUUUUACAAAUGAACUAAAUAAUUGAAGCAGCUUCCGCUGAAGUUUUUGAAAAAACUUAUACAAGACAAAAACAAUUCAGCUUAUUUAGUGUUGAAGUUUUAUAAAUGAACUAAAUAACUUCAACAUCUUCUGCUGAAGUAUUUGAAAAAUCUUAAUGAUAAAACUAAUGAAUCCAGGACAAACAAACUUCAGCUUAUUUAGUGCAAUUACAAACAAAAACUUCAGCAAAUAGUGAACAAAACUUCACUCAUAUUUAAGUUCAGCAAUCAUAAACAAAAACUUAAGCAAAUAGAAAACAAAACUCCAACUAUUAUGUUUAAGUUCAUCAAUUACAAACAAAAAUUUCAGCAAAUAAAGAACAAAACUUCAGUUACACUAUGCUUAAGUUCAGCAACUACGAAUAAAAACUCCAGGCCCAUCUACCAGAAUGCUAAAGUUUUGCGUGAUUGUCUUUGCUACUUCAUCAUGUAUGCUGAAGUUAUGCGAAAAAGUGGGUAUACUUGUAUUUUUUUUGCAAAACGGUCACAAGUUAAAACGUGACCCAAAAAGCGGGUAUGGAUGUAAAUGCCCCAAAGCCACUAUUUUUCUUCUUUAUUAGGCUUUGCACAAUUAGCCAACAAUUAAUUAACCUAAAAUAUAAAGCUAAAAAAUUCAAAUUAACCUAUUUAAUAAUAUAUGAUUGACUAAAUUAAUUAACUAAAAAUGCAUAUGAAAAUUACUAAAGUAUUUUUUGUUGUGAUUUUCAUGAUUACGAUAUUCCUAAGAUGCUAGAACAAUGCGACUAAAUGCAAAACAAAUAAAGAAUAAAUCCUAAUAUUCAUAAAAAUAAUAAAUAUUAUUUUUGAAUUAUUUUUAGGAGUAAUUUCUUAUGUGGGGAAAAAUUAGAUGCUCAGAAGCGCGUUAAGUCAACAAUGGUCAAAGCAAAGAAGCUCAACUUCCAAUCAGAGAUCCGGUUUCUGUUGGAUUUGAUAGACAAGAACAUUGGGAAGGAAUCCAGUACUCCGCCUCAUAAGAUAGAUAGUGCGACUCAAGCUGGAUUUGGGAAUAAAACCGACAAAUCUUGUUGCAAGCUAUAGUGGAAACAAUUGUAGUAUCAACAAAGAAAGUAGAUUGCAGGGAAAUAAUCAAGGUGAAUACGGAAAUCAGUUUACUGGCUAGCAGUUUGCUCCAUCUAGCUCUGUAGGCAUUUAUAUGAGCUAUAAUAGUUAUGGUAAAAUAGGCCAUAGCUUCAAACUGUCCAAGCAUUAUGAGUGGUCAGGGCCUAAUGUAUUUUUUAGGUUUUGCACCUCUCAAGUACAAAGAAGAGAGAAAAACAAAAGCACCCCGCUAAAGUUUUUCACAAAACAAGCGAAAGAGCCUAAUUUAUUUUUGACGUUAUGAAUGGUCAUAUAUUAUGGUCGAGGCCUAAUGUAUUUUCGACGUUAUGAAUGGUCGAGGCCUAAUCCAUCACGCUCUGAUGUGAUAUGCAACAUCUUCGACAAUCUACCUAUUUCCUUAGAUAAUAGACCCGAGAUACUUAAAACUAGCUCUCUUAGGGAUUACUUGAGCAUCAAGCAUUACCUAUACGUCUGUUUCGUGGGUUUCCUCACUGAAUUUGCAUUCCAAGUAUUUAGUUUUGAUUCUACUCAACUUAAAACCUUUAGACUCCAAAGUCUAUCUCCAAACCUCCAACCUCGCUUAACUCCGCUUCGCAUCUUGUCAAUUAACAAUAUUUUAUCGGCAAAUAUCAUACAACAAGGCACCUAGCCUUGGAUGUGUCGUGACAGUACAUCCAUCGCGAAGGCUUUUCAUAGCAAAUCCAAAUUAUUCAAACAAAUCAAAUAAAUAACAUUUUUCAUGUUAAACCCUUUAUCAAUUUAACAUUAAUUUUUGUAAAGGUACAACAAGUGCUAUCACAUGUAUCAACUCUUAAAAUAUUUGCCUCGAUUAUUUUUUACCAACAAGUAUUGACAAAUGAGAUUUUUGUUAAACAAUAAUUAUAUUUCGUAUUCAACACAACUCAAAGACACAUGGUGACAUCCACACACAUUUGCCACCACAAGCGCAGAUGGUCAAUCAACAAUUCAACAUAGUCGGUCGAACCACCUCUCUAUAAAACUUACCCUUAUGUUUUGACGGUAUAUUCAUAUCACACAAAACACCGGAAGCGAGCCUCUAUUUUGCCCAUCCCGCUCUGAUGCGAUGUGCGUCAUCUUUGAUAAUCGCCACGUUACGUUGGAUAAUAGACACGAAACACUUAAAACUAGCUCUCUUAGGGAUAACUUGAGCAUCAAGCUUUACCUCCAUAUCCGUUUUAUAGGUUCCGUCACGGAGUUCGCACUUCAAGUAUUCAGUUUUGGUUUUGCUCAACUUGAAACCUUUAGACUCCAAGGUCAGUCUGCAAACCUCCAACUUGCGUUAACUCAGCUUCUUGUUUUGUCAAUCAACAUUAUAUCAUCAGUAAAUAGCAUAUACCAAAGCACAUCCCUUGUAUGUGUCGCAAUAGUACAUCCAUCGCCAAGGCUUUUCAUAGCCAAUCCAAAUCGUUCAAACAAAAAUCACAUGAACAGCGUUGUCACACCUCCUUUUCCCCGAAGAGGGAUAGGGGAGUUUUUUAAAUUUAAGUAACAUUAUUCAAAAUAGGAUUAUUUAUUUAUUUUCAGAGCCGUCACUUUCCAAGUCACCGGUUUAUUUUAAGUCCCAAAUCGUGAAAAUUUGACCCCUUGCGAAACCAGAAGACCGGGUAGGAGAUUCUAUUAAACCGUAAAAAGGUGUGAGGCACUCUCGAAUUUUGUAAUUUAAAUACGAUCGCUUAACUAUUAAUAAUUGACCUAAUUAUCUUAUUAACUACAUAUUUUAAACCCUUUUGUGCAUUGUUGCUUUUAUAUCGCAUUUAAUUAUUUUAAUCAAUUAUGGAGUUUAUUUAAACAAGUUGCAAUGGUGGAGGUGGAGUACAGUGGUGCCCUUGUACAAGAACAAAGGGGACAUCCAGUGCUGCAACAACUAUAGGGGUAUCAAAUUAUAAGUCACACGAUGAAGGUUUGGGAGAGGGUGAUUGAGGCGCGGGUGUGGGAGGUGGCAUCUAUAUCUGGGAACCAGUUCGGUUUCAUGCCGGGCCGCUCCACCACAGAGGGAUAGCCUAUGCAUUAAGUAAUUCUUGUUUAAGUUUAACUUACAAGAAUCGGGAAAAUAUUUAUACAGAAAAAUUAUUUAGUGAAACUAGCACAUUAAUAAAAAAUGAUGAAGUAUCAAGAGAGUUUCUUAGAAGCCAUAGUUCAAGAAACUUACCUUUUAAAAUAGAACAAAGUAAUUUAUUACCAAGUUCUAGUCAAAUAAGUAGACCAACAAGCAAGAAGACAUUAUUUGAAGAAGAUCAAGAAAUAAGAAAAAUGAAUAAGCAGAUAGGUGAAUUAAACAGAUUAGUUUCAAAUCUAAGCAAUAAGAUAUAAAAGGGAAAGAUUAAUAAUACAAAAUAUAUAUUUAAAGCAAAGAAAAAAGAAAUUAGAAGAUGAAAAUGAAGAGCAGCAUGAUUUAAUGCUAACAAAGGAUAAAGUAAUCAAAAAGCAAGAAGAAUGAUUAGUAAAUCUAUUAAAAAGAAUAGAUAGAUUACACAAAGAAUUAGAUAGACAGGCAGACUUAGAAAUUGAGUCUCCUAAUACAGUUUUAUAAUAUAUUCCUGGUGAUUCAGGGGGACGAAGAGAUUGACGGGGACGUCACCCAUCGUAUAGGAGCGGGGUGGUCUAAGUGGAGGCUUGCAUCAGGGGUCCUGUUUGACAAGAAAGUUCCUCACAAACUCAAGGAGAAAUUCUAUAGACCCGUGGUUAGACAUGCGAUGUUGUAUGGGGCGGAGUGCUGGCCCGUGAAGAACUCUCAUGUUCCACCUCGACCGGGGUUAGGUGUUGGUCAGCAGGGAUACCCAUAGAUGAUCUGUGUUUUAGCUUAUGUCCCCCCAACGGUUGUUGGUUUAUGGUAGUUACUGUAUGUUAUUAUUGCAUGCGAUUGUAUUUAUGUUCCUUAUGUUUAGAUAAUUAUUUACGCUAUUUCUGCGGGAGAUACUAAUGCUCUACUGUUUUUGUUUUUUGUUUUUGUUUUACAGCUGUUUUUCCUUUUAUCCCAUGCGCCGAGGGUCGAUUGGAAACAGCCUCUCUGCCCUUUCGGGUAGGGGUAAGGCUCGUCUNNNNNNNNNNNNNNNNNNNNNNNNNNNNNNNNNNNNNNNNNNNNNNNNNNNNNNNNNNNNNNNNNNNNNNNNNNNNNNNNNNUUUCGGGUAGGGGUAAGGCUCGUCUACAUAUUACCCUCCCCAGACCCCACCUGGUGGAAAUAUACUGGGUAGUUGUUGUUGUUGUUGUUGUUGUUAAACAAGUUGCAAUGUCAUGCACUUACUAUUUUUGUACAUAUCGCAAAUCACAUCACGUGAAACGUACCCGUAAUUCAGAACGUGUUUAGUUUAAUUAUUACUUGAAGUUAUGGUCAAAUCACAUGAAAUGCACACCCGAACGGGAUUUACAUAUUGUGAUCACACCACAAGAAAAUACCCAUAAUCGCAAUAAUUAUUGUUAACCGCACCUAAAACAAGCUAUGAUAUUCAUCUAUUAUUCAUAAGCUACUCAUCUAUUAUUCAUAAGCUACUUUGAGAAUAAUUGUAGAAACUUCGUAAUUUAUGAAAAUUGUUUGAACAAGUCGCAAUGUUGCGCACUCCUUUGUUUUUGCACACAUGUGAAUUGCAUCACGAGAACCGUACCCACAAUCUACAACAUGUUUAUUUCAAUAGGGAAAAGUAUCACAACCAUGUCAAUUUAACGUGCCUCAAUACUUUAUUUGGAGGUCAAAUGACUACUAGAUUGAGAAGGCAUACUGGACCAAGAAAUGUAAUUAUCACCAUGAGCAAGAGAAACGAAUCUUAUGCAGCUAAUAAGAAAAUCACCUUCAGAAUCUAGAUUACGAAAUCGCUAUGUCUAUGCAAACACUACACUGGUAAUAGCUUCUAUAAACAAUGGGAAGAGGCUAGAUUUCAAAAGGACGGUUUAACAGAAUAUGGACAACGCUAGCUUGGAUAGAGUAUGUUAUAUUUUUUAGAAAAACAUUUUCUCCAAGUUCAAACACACCAUCUGAACAUAAAAGCUGCAAACUCAACAGAGUAAAAAUAUAAGCAGUAGGCUGAAAACCAUUGAAAUGUAUACGAGGACAGAAUGGUGUGGAAACAUCCCUAAUUUGAUAGCAAUUUACUUCUGGAUGCCGCAAUGUAAACAAUCCUAUGCAUUGAAACGAACACAUAAAUUGGACGGAGGGAACCGAAAAUGUGGAAUUGACAGAUGCUCUACAAUUCCAGAACUCAAUUGAAGUCCACAUGCAAAUUCAAAUUUUUGUUUCUCUAGAACAGCAAGUAUGUAAUAAACAGAUAACUUAAGUCCAGUAUUGAACUCCAACACUUGGUUUGUGAACAUCCUAUCAAAUUUUUCGAUUGAAGAAUCCCCAGAUGACUCGUUUAAGAUUCGAAUGAGAGUAGCAAAUUCUCUUGGUCUAAAGCCAAACAGUGUGCAAUGAGAUUCUGAAUGAAACAAAUAACCAUAUUAUGCCAGUUCUCACAAAAGUAAUGCAGGUAACCAGCAUCUGCACCACAUUGGGAUGUGUAAAUACGGAUAAUUUUCUCAGAGAUCUGGCAUGCCUUUUCCUGUUUUGGGAUCAUAAGUCCUCUCCAUGACCACCUCCAUCGGAGUAUCUUUGGGACCAGCUGCACAAUGUAAAGGAGAACAUCCAGAAGAAAGGAUCAGAUGUCAGACGAAUACACACAUAUAUUGACCCUGGAAGAGUAAUCAAACAUCUAUAAUUUGGUAGAACAAACUCUAUGAAAACUUCCAUUAAAAUCAAAAGAAGGAAGUGGUAAGCAACAAUGUCAAACAAGCACCAUCAACUCCACACAAAGAGAAUACUUAAGUCGCACACCUCAUGAACCAUCCAUCAUAACUCAGCACACAUAUUUCUCAAAGUUGCGUAACCCAAUCCCCAACCCGAUCCCAACUUCAACCUUCCAUAUUGCCAAGCAGUACUCCCACAGGAAACUAACAGAAGAAUAAACCAUAUUGUUGAUCUCCCCAGAUCCACGCUUCAUCUAAAUUUGACCUGCAACCCAAUUUUAGGUUACACUACUUCAAACCGCACCAUAGCGUGCCAUGCAUUUCAACAAUUUGUCUUAAAUGAAACCUACCCUACAUGAAAAUUGCAUCAUAAAGUUGCGUCUACAAUUGAUUUUUAGCUCUUCAAAGUUUGGAGCUUUAAUUUCUUCUUCCAGUUGACAUCAAGAUCAUACCUCUACGGCUAAUAUCAAAAACAAAUAGAAGACAAGCAUGGCAUAUACUACGUCUAAGAUGCAACAGAAUACUCAUCUAAAAGCUUAUACUCAGGCGAAUGCGAAAGAAUUUGAUAAUUACCAACUGUAGGCCUUGGUGUGGUCCUUAUUUUUAAGAUCUCGGGCCGGGGAAUAAUAGAACCUGACGCUCCUAUACCUCUUGAGACUCUUACUUUGGAGCCAUCCUCUAGGAAUCUAAUCCCGACCUUUGUUGGUUUCCUGUGGAUGAAGACAUGAGCUACCGCCAUGUUCUAAGAGAAAAAGACAAAUGGUAAGGGAAAAAUAAAUACAUCCAUACCCUGUGACUGGAUCUACAACCUGAACAUUGGAUACAUGCAGCGGCGCCUCAACUGAAAAUAUUCCACCUUCAUGGCCUUGCCCUUGUUUAAUAUGUUUCUUGACCUGCAAAAGGGCAUAAUAAAGUACGGGGUAGUUUUGUUUCACAUACUAAUUAUGUUUUUGAAUAAAAUAACAUAAUUUUAUUUAUAAACAAUACCAAGUGGGUACCGAAAGAUGUAACAAAGUGAUUUGUCCUCUGCCAAAGCUUUAGAAAGUCUAAUGCCAAAAUAUUUUGUCAUGUUAGAUAAAGAAUCUCCUUCACACCAACGGUCUAAAUAUAUUUGGGAGAGGGUGAUGGAGAGAAGGGUGACGAGGAGUGUGUCUGUUCCAGAGAACCAGUUCGGUUUCAGGUUUCAUGUCAGGACGGUCGACCAUAAAAGCCAUUCAUCUAGUAAGGAGAUUAAUGGAAUAGUAUAGGGAGAGAAAAGACUUGCAUAUGGUGUUUAUUGACUUAGGAAAAAAAAAACUAUGAUAAAGUCCUAGGGAGGUUUUAUGGAGAUGUUUGGAGAUUGGCAGUAGUAAGAACCGUGGGAGGUGACUCAAACUAUUUCCCUGCGGAGAUAGAGUUGCAUCAAGGAUCAACUCUUAGCCCAUUUUUAUUUGCCCUGGCGAUGGAUGUGUUGACGCAACACAUUCAAGUAGGAUUGUGCAUAAUUUGGUAAAUACCGAAUUACAGUACAGAAACCAAAAAUUUUGGUAUUUGGUAUUCGAUAUUUUGACAUUGGGUAUGGUAUUUGGUUUAAGUUUUAAAAAACAUUGGUAUUAAGUACGGUAUUUGGUAUUUUAAAAUGAAAUACCGAAAUACUGAUACCAUACCAAAAUAUAUAUUAUAUUACACAAUACGCAUCUUACUAGUUAUAACAUAAAUAUAAAAAUCUAAAAUUUUACUUUCCUUUAUUCUCUAAGUUCAUCGAUUAGCUCAAAGCAAGUAACAGAACAUUUCUAAUGAUCGAAUUUAUUCUUUUAUGUACAAUUUCCACUCUCUAGGGUGAUACUUGCUAGUUUUGGAAAACUAUUGUCAACAAAUGUUUAUAGUUUUGUACCUUCGAGUACUUUAAUUUAGAAUAUUACAGUCUACGAUUAUAUGCACUAGUUAGUAUUCAAACCGAAACCGAAAGGAGAAAAUUGAAUCAUACCGAAUUUUAUUAGGUACGGUAUUAGUAUUGCAUUUUAAGAAAUCGAAUACAAAAAAUCCCAAACCGAAAUGUCCAAAAUAACGAACCGUACCAACGAAUACCUCUAUAUUCAAGGAGCGGUGCCAUGGUGUAUGUUAUUUGCACAUGACAUAGUGCUGAUUGAUGAGACGCAUUGUGGGGUUAAUGCUAGACUAGAGGUAUGGACACAGACUCUGGAGUCUCUAAAGGUUUUAAGUUGAGUCGGACGAAGACGGAGUACUUGGAGUGUAAGUUUAGUGUUGGGGCCAAGGAACCAGAAGCAAACGUGAAGCGUAGAUACACAAGUCAUCCUCCGAGAAAUAGUUUCAAAUAUCUUAGGUCAAUGAUUUAGUGUAGCGAGGAAAUCAACAAGGAUGUUGCACACCGUAUUGGAGCGGGAUAGAUUGAAAUGGUGGCUUGCUUCCAGUGUUUUGAGUGACAAGAAUGUGUUACCUAGACUUAGUAAGUUUUAUAAAGCGGUAACUAGAUCGGCCAUGUUGAAUGAAGCAGAGAGUUGGCCAUAGUCCAGAAAUCUCACGUCCAGAAGUUCAAAGUAACGGAAAUGAGGAUGUUGAGAUGGAUAUGUCAACAUACCAUGAGAGAUAAGAUUAGGAACGAGUAUAUUUUAGACAAGUCAGGCAUGACACCGAUAGAAGAUAAAUUGUGGGAAUCAAGGCUGAGUUGGCCCAGGUGAAAAGGAGAGACCCUGAUGCCUCGGUUAGGAGGUGUGAGAGGUUGACCACGACGGGCCAUAAGAGGGGUAGAGGGAGGCCUUAGAAAAUAUUGGGGUGGUGAUUAGGAAGGACAUGACACUUCUUCCGCAAACCGAGGACAUGACUCUCGAUAUGAGGGUGUGGAGGUCAAUGAUUAGGAUUGUGGGUGGACAAAGAGUCUAGAGUUCCGUCUAGACAUCCGAGUAGUAUUAGUAGUGAAACUUGUACUUUGCUAUGCCUAACCCCUUGCUAUUACACAUUGUGACAUUAUUUCCAACAAGACUGCAUGUAUUCUUAUAGUGUCGUAGUUUUAGAUAUAUGUUGUUGCACGUAUCUCAAUUUGUGCCCAUGCCUAAUGAAGGUAGAGAGGUGGUUUCCGAAAGGGCCUGAUGGUUCAAGUGAAGAGGAGAGAUCAUGAUGCCCCGGUUAGGAGGUGUGAGAGGAUAACCUUGAAAGGCCAAAAGAGCAGUAAAGGGAGGCUUAAGAAGUAUUGGGAUGAUGAUUAGGAAGGACAUGACGCUUCUUCAGCUUACCGAGGACAUGACCCUCGAUACGAGGGUGUAGAGGUCAAGGAUUAGGGUUGUGGGUGAACAAAGAGUCUAGAAUCUCAUCUAGGCAUCCUAGUAGUAUUAGUACUAGUCUUGCAUUAUGCUAUGCCUGAUCCCUUACUAUUUCACAUUGUGUCAUUAUUUCCAACAAGAUUGCCUUUAUUAGUGUCGUAGUCUUAGAUAUCUGUUGUUGCACGUAUCUCCAUUUGCGCCCAUGUCUAAUUACUUGGUUGUUGCUACUGUCUGUUUAUUGCUUUAUUUUGACUUCCUUAGAACCGAGGGUCUUUCGAAAAUAACCUUUCUACCUUUCAUUAGAGUGUUGGUACUGUCUGUUUAUUGCUUCAUUUUCACUUCCUUAGAGCUGAGGGUCUUUCGGAAAGGACCCCUCUACCUUUCAUUAGAUUGUUGCAAACAACCUUUUUACCUUCAUUAGGUAGGGGUAAGGUCUGCAUACACUAUACCGUCCCCAGACCCAACUCGUGAGAUUUCACUAGGCUUGUAGUUGUUGUUUACAUAAAAAGAGUUUGAAGUGCUUCUUAGUCAAUUAAGAGCUUUGUUCCUUAAUACAGCUAUCACUAAGUGUGAAUGUGAAAGAGCUACUUGUCUAAAACACCAAUAAUUGGUUCUUGCUUGUCCAUUAAUAAUCUAAUCCACAGAGAGGUUGCCAUGAAGUUCUUACUAGUGAAGCUGACUCCUACAGCUAGCUAUAUCUCAAUGAAACCACCUUGAGGAACUCAGUUUCUUGUUCAAUCUAACAAUGUGAUGUCAAAUCCUCCCAUAUAGUUUCACAAAGAUGUAAUCGGUCUAUCUUAUAUUCUUUUCUUAUAUUCUUUAGAAUGACCCGAAGAUCAAAGUGUCAAAAUUCUCAAUUCAAGCCAAAACAACCAGGUCCUCAGGCUUCUAAAGACUAAUCUAAAAUUAGGUACUCAUGGUGGGGGAAUGGAACAUGAAUAGGUGAUCUAAGUAAUAUUUUAAUCAUUAUACCAACAAAGGACUAAAAAAGGAUUAAGUGCAUCAUAAAUUAUCAUCAUAGAUUUGUACUUUCACAAUUUUUCUGAAGAUUCCGUAAGAUUAGAUAGAUAUGUCUUCAAAACUUGAGAGACAAUAUCUUUCCAUUUUCUUAAUCUUCUUUCGAAGGAAAUUUUUUAUGAUCAAUUCAUUCAACAUUUUACACAUCUGAAUUAUGUAUUAUAUAUAUAUAUAUAUAUACAUUGUUAUGCAAAAAUGAAAUUAGCUGAACUUCAUAAAAUUAGAAAAUAAAAUAAAGAAUCUAGAAAAUACUCGAUUUUGGUUUAUGGUUCCACAUUUCAUUUACAUGCAAUAAAAUAACUCGAAGAUAAGCAUAAGCAUUGAAAAAACUUCUUGCAUAACCCUUGCAAUGAAAAUAAAACAACCAAAUAUAAGCAUAACUCCGAAGAUAAGCAUAAGCAUUGAAAAAAUUCUUGCAUAACCCUUGCAAUGAAAAUAAUACAACCAAAUAUAAGCAUAACUCUCAUAGAUGACAAGACACAGAAGUGAGCAAACAAAAACAGUUAUAAGACUUGAAAUCGGUUUGCAAGUUGCAACUUCAAAGUUGGAAUUAGGUGAAAUUUAUGAGUUAAUAUUUUCAAAUUGAUGAUAAAUCUUCUCCAUAAAAUUAAAAAAUAAAAUAAAGAAUCUAGAAAAUACUCGAUUUUGGUUUAUGGUUCCACAUUUCAUUUACAUGCAAUAAAAUAACUCGAAGAUAAGCAUAAGCAUUGAAAAAACUUCUUGCAUAACCCUUGCAAUGAAAAUAAAACAACCAAAUAUAAGCAUAACUCGAAGAUAAGCAUAAGCAUUGAAAAAACUUCUUGCAUAACCCUUGCAAUGAAAAUAAUACAACCAAAUAUAAGCAUAACUCUCAUAUAUGACAAGACACAGAAGUGAGGAAACAAAAACAGUUAUAAGACUUGAAAUCGGUUUGCAAGUUGCAACUUCAAAGUUGGAAUUACGUGAAAUUUAUGAGUUAAUAUUUUCAAAUUGAUGUUAAAUCUUCUCCCACUCAUUAGUACCCAUUCCACAAUACGACGCCCUAAUACAUAAUAAUAAGUAAACAAAUAAAAACAGGAUUUUGGAAAUAAUGAAAAAAAGUGAAAAAGAACUAAAUUAUGACAAGAUAUGUUUGACAACCAGGGUAAAUUAUCACAAGACACGUUUAAAGGAUAUAAAGCAUGUGCCAAGAAAAAUGCUAACCAGGUUUUUGCCCUCAACGAUUACACGAUUUUGGGAACGUAUGACACGCUUAAUGGUACCAGUCUCGCCUUUAUCUUUUCCUCUGGUAAUCAUGACCUGAGCAUUGGAAACAAAACAAAAAAAGGAAAUAAUUUGAAAAAUCCCCAAGGUAUUCGAGAGUCAAUCAGCCAGGGAAACGGUGAUUAAUGAACUUACAUUAUCACCUCUGAGAAUUCUCCACUGAUGAAUGAGUUGAGAAUUCUCCACUGAUGAAUGAGUUUCUGAUAACUUUUCCAACCCAUUUUGAGCUUCACUACCUACUUUGCAUCCAGAUGUGAAAAUAAAAUCCAAAUCCACUAAUCAGAUGAAUAUAAACAACAAAAACCCAGUAAAUUCUCAAAAGUGGGGUCUGGAGAGGCUAAGAUGUUCGCAUCCUUGCCCCUACUCGGGAAGGGCAGAAAGACCGUUUCUGAUAGACCAUCGGCUAGAUAAAAGGCCACACUUUAAAAAAAAUAGAAAAAAGAAAAGGGCUUUAACAUUAAUAUAAAACAUCAUAGAUAUAUACACUAGAUGGAUGCACCAACAUCCAUUUGAAAUUUGCAAUUAACAUAAGCUAGUUAAUAUCCAAAAAGAUGAGACUGAAAGGUACAUAUUCCAACUAGCCCCACAACUUAAAAGGCAUCUAUUUAUUUCAAAAUUUUGACUUUUUUUUAUCAGUUAAGAGAACUUCAAAAUUCUAAUAUAAAUAUAUAGUCUUGGCUCAGCCAUUGCAACAGUUGAUGGCCACAGCAAAACCGUGCUAAUAGUUGAAGGCCACAAUUAAGAAACAACCACGGUUGGGCUAAGGCUUCCCCUUCAUCUUCUAUGGAAGAUGACAUGGUUGAACUGUGGUAUGGCUGAAACGUGGCAAUGGAUGGAGGGGACAGUUACCUCAAUCCUCCUUCAACUUAAUCUUUAGUCCAAUAGUCAUGAGUUAUGUGCUUGGCUAUCCAACCUAAAUCCUUCCAACUUAUAUUGUGGUGAUGUAUAAGUAUCCUAACGACUCUAUUUCCCUCGGGUAGAUCCUCACGUUAACUACUCUCUUAAGCUCGUCUAGGCUUGAUCUAUGAUCUUUUAGUUUAACCCCUUAUUUCCUGCAAUCUUCUCUCAUUCUUUCAUUGAUCUAACACUUAUCGAUUGAUGAAAUAAUUAUUCCCAAGUGUUUUCAUAACUUUAUUGCACUCGUGUAGGCCCUUGUGCGUCUCGAGCUUUAUUUAAAUUGUACUCUUUAGGCUCGAAACACAUACAAAUUAAUUGUAGAAAAUUUUUGAACUUUACACUCAUUUUCAAUCCUCUAUCCAUCAUCUCUAUCACUAAAACACCACAAUAUCACUUCUCUCACCCACAACAAAACCUCUUCUUUUAUUCUUAUCCACCACUAAGAAAACACAAAUACCAUGGCCACAAUGCAUCAUCUUUGCCUUUUCUUCUCUAACCCCUGAUUUGAGUCGAGCACCAGGGCUAGUGUUUGAAGAAGAGAAGUGAGAUGACCUUAACAAAAAAAAAAUAUAAAUUAAAAAGGUUGUAACGUAAUUAAUAGUAAACAACAGUUCACCCCUGAGAUGACCUUAACAAAAAACAAAUAUAAAUUAAAAAGGUUGUAACGUAAUUAAUAGUAAACAACAGUUCACCCAAAUCAAUUUUAUCCUUUCGUAAGGCAUUAUUAUUUGUUACUAUAUAUAUUCCCCACAUAUAUGGCACACUUUCCUGUUUAAUUUAUUCUUAAAAAAUAUUAUAUUUUUAUAUUUAAAAAUAAUUUAACUUUAAUUUAUUAUUUUGCCUUUAAUGAGAUAAUAGCCACACAAAUAUCAAAGAUUUAUUUUAGAUCAUAAGUUUCAAAAAUCUUUAUUUCUUUAUUAAAAUUUGCAUAGCCACACAAAUAUCAAAGCUUUAUUUUAGAUCAUAAGUUUCAAAAAUCUUUAUUUCUUUCUUAAAAUUUGUAUAUAUGUGCUUCAUAAAUUGGGAUGGAGGGAGUAGUAUACUAAUAUUUGCUAAAUAAUAAACCUUAAUCAAAUGUCUACUAUUGCUAAGUGUAAGCCUAAAUUAAAGUAUAUUAGUAGAUUAAAUAUAUAUUAACUGGUGCUAGUGGGAGAUAGCGGGUACCUCGUGAAAUUAGUCGAAGUGCAAACGAAUCCCACAACCUAUUUCGCUAUAGUUACUUUGUGGUUCAUUUCCUACUUCUAAAAAACUUGCGGCUUCCUCUGCAACUAAUAAUUACUCUACUCCGUGGAAGCUCCGAUCAAAAUUUACAAGCUUCUCUCAGAACCAUCAAACAACAAAUAAAAGGCCAAUCUAGACAUCCUGUCAUUACCCACAUCACAAAAAAAGAGCGUCUCCCCCCUUUUAUUUCAGUUUCACGCCCGCCUAGUUUCAUUCUAUCCCGCUUCUUUAUUUAGGAUUUUGAAAAGCUCUUCCCCUUCAUUUUCAACUCACUAUUUCUCUUUCUGUCAAUUUCUCGAGAAAAAAAAAAGAAUAAUUUCACCGGAAAAAAUGACGCUGAUAAAUUUGACAGAAAGUGCGAUAUUGAUUUUAACGAACGGCGAAGCAAAUGCGGAGGAUUUUAAACUGGUGUUACAAAUCACAAAUAUUCGGUUAGCGAACUCUCAGAAUCAGAACAACAAUAACAAACGCUACCAGAUUCUUUAUCCGACAGGGAGUUUCUUCAGCAAGGAUGUUAGCUACGCAAAAAAACUAUCUUAUUCUGUCUUAAUAGAUUCAAAAAGGAUCUAAUAUUUAGAAGGAUCAAUUCGUUUGGAAUAACAUCCAAAAUCGAAUGUAAUUUCUCUGAUUUUCCUUCAAUUUUGUCAAUUCAUAUGAUAUAAAUGCUUGAAAUUUCGGAUUGCAUACGUUCAACUUGAGUGAGUUUUUUCAUUAAGAAGCUUUGCCACAAGAACUAUGUAUGUUUGCUUCUAGAUAUAUAUGAUUAUUAGGUUGGAGAAAAUCAAUUGCUUAUACUUUUUAUUUAAUUCGUUGUUGUAAUUUGCAUGCGCAAAUUUUAGUACGAACCCCCGUAUUGCAUAGGACAUUCAAAACAAUGGGAGAAAAAAAGGUAAUUCUGUUUAAUAAUUUGUCUCUAUGAAUUUGUUUUUAUCUUCUUUACCUUAUAAACUCAAAAUCCUUGGAGAGUGGUGGACUUUUUCUUUUUUGUUGAUCGUUAUGAGGAGCUGUUUUGGUGUUCUUGCUUAUAGCUAAGUUAACUCGGAUUGCUUUAUAAACCUAAUUAAGAAUAGGCUCAACUAGGGUUUAAACUACUGCGUAUAUGUAAACUUUUUCCUAUUAUAACAGGGUUCCUUAAAAGUGUAUAGGGUAAACAUAUGUGUAUAUGCUUUGCUCCAGCAGUUGUUGCAACUUAUUAGGUUUGUAGAUCGGCUUUGCCUCUAGUGACAGUGCUGUGAGCUGAAGCACAACUUAUAUGUGUAUAGUUAAUCUUUACGUAGAUGACACUUUUGUAUGAUGAGCUUUCUGAGAUUGACUUUUUCAAAAAUAAUUAGCAAACAGCUGACCUGCAACCCCAACAUGCCAGUAAUUUCCAGCUACACUUUCCAAUAAGAAACUGUAUAUACACACACUUCAUUCUUUGUAAGUGUCUUUGAGAAUCAUACUUGUGGCGUACAGUGUUUGUUUAUUGAUUUUUCUUGUCUAAUUCUUCAAACAGGAUCAUCACUAUCAUUGAAUUAGAUAUUAUACUUGAGACAUGUGAUACCACUGGAGAACCAAAGCAUUAUCUCCCAAAUGGCAUUAGUCCUUUAGUGCCAUGGCCAGCUGCCCCACUUCAGUCUUCCACCAAUCAAUCAGGUGGUUUAAGUGGCAGCCCUCAAUCCUUUACUGCAAUUUCAGCUACCUCAAGCUCAGUGCCAAGACCAAAUAUGCCUGGAGGGAUGUGAUCUCCUGAGUCAAACCGUAGCAUUGGUUUUAACACUUCCUCUGCUGGUAAUAUUGACUCUGGAAGAUAUAGUUGAACAAGUGCACCCCUUUGAAGUUAUGAUCGUGUCACAUAAAAUGCACGCCCAAAUGGGAUUUAUGUAUCAAGACCAUGCCACGGGAACCAUACCCAUAGUCACAAUAAUUAUUAUUAACCGCGCUAUGAUGUUCAUCUAUUAUUCUUAAGCUACCUUGAGAUUAAUUGUAAAAGGUCCGUAAUUAAUGGAAAUUGUAUGAACAAGUCCUGAUGUCGCGCACUCACGGGAACCGUACCCACGAUCUACAACAUGUUUAUUUUAAUAUGGAAAAGUAUCACAACCAUGUCAAAUUAACGUGCCUCUAUGCUUUAUUUGGAGGUCAAAUGACUACUAGAUUGAGAAGGCAUACUGGACCAAGAAAUGUACUUAUCACUAUGAGCAAGAGCAAACGAAUCUGAUGCAGCUAAUAAGAAAAUCACCUUAAGAAUCUAGAUUAUGAAAUCGCUAACAUGUCCACACAGACACUACACUGGUAAUAGCUUCUAUAAACAAUGGGAAGAGGCUAGAUUUCAAAAGGACAGAUUAACAGAAAGCGUAUGCACAACGCUAGCUUGGAUAGAAUAUCUUAUAUUUAUUAGAAAAACAUUUUCCUCCAAGUUCAAACACAUAUCAUCUGAUCAUAAAAGAUGAAAACUCAACAGAGUAAAAUACAUAAGCAGUAGGCUGAAAACCAUUGAAAUGUAUAUGAGGCCAGAAUGGGGUGGUAACAUAUCCCAAAUUUGAUAGCAAUUUACUUCUGAAUGGCAAUGCAAAUUUAAUUUUAUGUUUCUCUAGAACAGCAAGUAUCUAUUAAACAGAUAUUUAAGUCGAGAAUUGAACUCCAACAACACCGGAUUUCAAAUUUUUAAAGCAAAUCCUAGCUUUGAACUCACAAACACACAAGAAUAAAGUUUCAGCAGAAAAUUCAUGAAAUAAUCCUUCAAAUUGCAUCAUAAAGAGACAGGGUUUUACUCAUAUCACGUGAGUAUUUAUUCAACAGCAUGCCAUGAGUCUCAAAGAAAGAUCAAAAUUCAUCAUUCAAUAUAGACCAAUCAUUAUUACAGAGUGGUAUGAACAUACCUAGACUGGAAAGACGAAUACAGAGCAGAAAUGGAGACGGCAAGACCUAGCCAAAGCAGCCACAAAUUCAACAAUUCAACCAGUAAUUUUGGAGAGUUUAAACACUCUUGAAAUACCAGAAAACCACGAGCCAACAAACUGAAAUCUUUCUUUCUUUUUUUUUUCAAGAUCUGAA